AAACCAUUUCCAAAGGUACUUCCAGUAAAAUUAGGUGAAUAUAAUUCUUUAAGGUUUAUGGUCAGUGAUUAAGUGGAAGCUUCAGCCAAAGAUUUAGCAGUAUUUUAUAAUGUGCUGUCAGUUCUCGGUGGUGUUUCUCCCUUUUAUUCCAGAAGUUGUGUCCUUAAGGGGUUAAUAUGAGCAGUUACUGUAUCAAUAUAUGUAUGAACAGAACCAGCUGUUAAAUGCAGGGAGAAGCCAUCUUGCUUUUCUAGCAGACUAUAGCCUGUGUUUCUUGCGUUCUACU